CAACGUAGGUCGGUAACAGAUUUG
rnacentral:sRNA from 1 species